rnacentral:rRNA from 1 species
UACGUAGGUGACAAGCGUUGUCCGGAUUUACUGGGCGUAAAGAGCGCGCAGGCGGUCGAUCAAGUCGAGUGUGAAAGCCCCCGGCUCAACUGGGGAGGGUCAUUCGAUACUGAUCGACUCGAAGGCAGGAGAGGGUAGUGGAAUUCCCGGUGUAGUGGUGAAAUGCGUAGAUAUCAGGAGGAACACCGGUGGCGAAGGCGGAUCUCUGGGCCUUACCUGACGCUGAGGCGCGAAAGCUAGGGGAGCAAACAGG